AGCGGGAAUAUUCCCAUAAGACGAGAAGACCCCAUGGAGCUUCAAACCCAAUUACACCCCUAACCCCUAUAACUACUUAACCCUUAGGAUUCUGUAUUAUUGGUUUUAGGUUGGGGCGACCACGGAGUACAACAAAACCUCCACAAUGAACGGAACUACUUCCUCAUCUGAGAGCUACACCUCUAAGAAUUAAAAUAUUAACAUAAAAUGAUCCAUUUUUGAUCAAUGAACCAAGUUACCCUGGGGAUAACAGCGCAAUCCAUUUCAAGAGCCCCUAUCGACAAAUGGG
rnacentral:rRNA from 1 species